rnacentral:rRNA from 1 species
UACAGAGGGUGCGAGCGUUGUCCGGAAUCACUGGGCGUAAAGGGCGCGUAGGUGGCGGCUUAAGCGUGCGGUGAAAGCUCGGGCUCAACUCCGAGUCGGCCGUGCGAACUGGGCUCACUGGAGCAUAGUAGAGGCAGGUGGAAUUCCGGGUGUAGCGGUGGAAUGCGUAGAGAUCCGGAAGAACACCGGUGGCGAAGGCGGCCUGACUGGGCUAUGGCGUGACACUGAGGCGCGGACAAGCGUGGGGAGCAAACAGG